rnacentral:misc_RNA from 1 species
UUGUUUUAUUGCUAGAGCAACUCAGACGGCGCCGGUUGCGAGCAGAGUUCGUCUGGACUCCGGCGGCUGGGCGAGGCCCCGCCGCCAAAGAACAUCGUUUCGUCUGGGGUGACGUACACAAAGGGUGGGAGUGGGCCGCGCUCUCGCGACGGCCCGUACUCUGUAAUGAUCCUUCCGCAGGUUCACCUACGGAAA